CCUACGGGCGGCAGCAGUGAGGAAUAUUGGUCAAUGGACGAGAGUCUGAACCAGCCAAGUAGCGUGAAGGAUGACUGCCCUAUGGGUUGUAACCUUCUUUUAUAUGGGAAUAAAACAGGGUAUGCAUACCCUCUUGUAUGUACCAUAUGAAUAAGGAUCGGCUAACUCCGUGCCAGCAGCCGCGGUAAUACGGAGGAUCCGAGCGUUAGCCGGAUUUAUUGGGGUUAAAGGGAGCGUAGGUGGAUUGUUAAGUCAGUUGUGAAAGUUUGGGGCUCAACCGUAAAAUUGCAGUUGAAACUGGCAGUCUUGAGUACGUUAGAGGUGGGCGGAAUUCGUGGUGUAGGGGUGAAAUGCUUAGAUAUCACGAAGAACUCCGAUUGCGAAGGCAGCUCACUGGACUGCAACUGACACUGAUGCGCGAAAGUGUGGGUAGCAAACAGGAUUAGAUACCCCAGUAGUC
rnacentral:rRNA from 1 species